rnacentral:rRNA from 1 species
GAUGAACGCUGGCGGCGUGCCUAAUACAUGCAAGUCGAGCGAACAGACGAGAGUGCUUGCACUCUCUGACGUUAGCGGCGGACGGGUGAGUAACACGUGGGUAACCUACCUAUAAGACUGGGAUAACUUCGGGAAACCGGAGCUAAUACCGGAUAAUAUUUAGCUUCGCAUGAAGCAAUAGUGAAAGACGGUUCUGCUGUCACUUAUAGGUGGACCCGCGGUGUAUUAGCUAGUUGGUGAGGUAACGGCUCACCAAGGCAACGAUACAUAGCCGACCUGAGAGGGUGAUCGGCCACACUGGGACUGAGACACGGCCCAGACUCCUACGGGAGGCAGCAGUAGGGAAUCUUCCGCAAUGGACGAAAGUCUGACGGAGCAAUGCCGCGUGAGUGAAGAAGGUUUUCGGAUCGUAAAACUCUGUUGUAAGGGAAGAACAAGUACGUUAGUAACUGAACGUACCUUGACGGUACCUUAACAGAAAGCCACGGCUAACUACGUG